ACUUGAGCGAACAGGUAGCGGUGCGAUCCGCUCCGUGAUAUCUCACAACAUAUCAAUUGGAUCAUGUACUUGUAUUUUUGAAUGGUCCAUCGCGUUUCAAUUAAUUAUUAACUCUGCUUUAUUAAUCACGUCGUACUGUGUGGUGCCAAGUUAAACCCGCCGGCUCUGUUUUUGAAUUAUUAACGAAAAGCCGCAGAUCCAAACGUCAAAUAGCUUCAUAGCUUAUUCGCGCGCGUAUGAUAAUGCUUGGAUUUUCUCGUCGUAAUAUAAUAAAAUAUUUUGUGAUUGUGUGACGUGAACGUUGAGAGUGCUGUACCAACUACUGCACGAUUGUCUAUUCUUUACCGUGAUGUGUAAUUAAUCGGUGUUUUUGCGAGUGAGUGUGAUGCCCAUGGACAUAGAAAAUAUAUUUCUAAAUAUAUUUUUAUGUCCAUGGUCGUGUCUCGAAAAAACGAGAGAAGAGAAGGAAAAGAUUCAGGACGGCAUCGGGUGUCGGUAGACCAAUCCUAGAGAUUUACAGGAUCUGCGAAAAGGGUAAGCCAGGAAGUAGCAUCGGGCCCCAGCGGAGCAACCUUGGAUAAUCACCGUAGCUUCGUGGCUGAUUAUAAUUCCGCUCGUCGCGUAUUGGGUCGGUGAGUCAGCAAUCAAUUUUCUUACUUUAUUUCAAGGCUUUGCAUAUGUCUUGCGCAGGAUCAAAGCAUAAUAUUGUCAUAUCUAUAUUUUUGUGAGUGAGCGAGUAAGUGACUAAGUGACUAAGUGAGUUAAUUUAAAGAAAAAGAAGAAAUCUGGAAGCCUAUCAUGGGGUGGGUAACAUUUGCAACAUGCAUAGGAUGUAACAUAAAACGUAUCCAGACUAGCCAACGGAUAUCGUAUGUUACAGAUAUUGGUCGGGAUGAGAAUUGACGAGAGAUUUAAAUUAUAGGAUUAAAGGAAAAUUACACUAUUAGCCCCUUACUACACAAAAUACGCCAUCUCCGCGAUGAUAAUCGCUCAUGAAAUUAGCGCAGCGAGAGAACCAAUCGGUAUCGUAAAAAAGCGACUACAAUAACUUCGAUAUAUUCUUUACAUGCUUUUUUUUAGAAAGGAUUAGCACACAGCGCGCGCGUUAGCCGAAGUAAAGGCCGGGAUUCAUAGUCGAUUCUUAUAUUUAAAACCGUCUUAAGUAUUAUCUUAAGUAUCAUAUAAUAUGUAUAUAUUUAUAUACAUAUAAAUACAUACAGCAUAUAAUAUGUAUAUAUUUAGCAUCAUUUUAAACCUACUAAUAUUAUAUCGAGUGAUCUAUCUCAUUAUUCUGUGCAUAAGAGUAUUGAGGUAAGUUGAUAUAUGCACAUUGACACAAAAAAAUGAAUAUUUUAUGUCACUUAUGAGACACCUUAUACUUUAUGUUGAAGUAUGCUUGAAUAAAAUAUAAAAUAUCUUGUAAAAUUAUUAAUUUUGCGAUAACUGUGUAUCUUAA